UACGUAGGGCGCAAGCGUUGUCCGGAAUUAUUGGGCGUAAAGAGCUCGUAGGCGGUUUGUCGCGUCUGGUGUGAAAGCCCGGGGCUCAACCCCGGAGGGUCACUGGAAACCAUAAGUCUUGAAUCUGGAAGAGGAGAGUGGAAUUCCUGGUGUAGCGGUGGAAUGCGCAGAUAUCAGGAGGAACACCAAUGGCGAAGGCAGCUCUCUGGUACAUGAUUGACGCUGAGACGCGAAAGCGUGGGGAGCGAACAGG
rnacentral:rRNA from 1 species